UACGUAGGGUGCAAGCGUUAAUCGGAAUUACUGGGCGUAAAGCGUGCGCAGGCGGUUGUGCAAGACAGAUGUGAAAUCCCCCGGGCUCAACCUGGGAAUUGCAUUUGUGACUGCACGGCUAGAGUGUGUCAGAGGGGGGGUAGAAUUCCACGUGUAGCAGUGAAAUGCGUAGAGAUGUGGAGGAACACCGAUGGCGAAGGGCAAUCCCCUGGGCCUGCACUGACGUCAUGCACGAAAGCGUGG
rnacentral:rRNA from 1 species